rnacentral:rRNA from 1 species
UACGUAGGCAGCGAGCGUUGUUCGGAGUUACUGGGCGUAAAGGGUGUGUAGGCGGUCUUCUAAGUCUGGUGUGAAAUCUCCCGGCUCAACUGGGAGGGUGCGCCGGAAACUGGGAGGCUAGAGUGUGGGAUGGGAGAGUGGAAUUCCUGGUGUAGCGGUGAAAUGCGUAGAUAUCAGGAGGAACACCUGUGGUGUAGACGGCUCUCUGGACCGCAACUGACGCUGAGACACGAAAGCGCGGGUAGCAAACAGG